rnacentral:lncRNA from 1 species
ACGAGUAUUAAGGAACCGGAGAGAGUACAAAACUUUUACAUAAAGAAAACAGGGAGCAUCCAGUGCAGCAAGAGAGAGAGAGAAUCCACGGGUGGACUCAAUCUUAAAUAACCAGCAAACAUGACCAUGGUACGAACAAGAAUGCCCUCAGAACUCACAUAUACAAUAUCCAUUGAUGGUGCACGAGACAGCCUCAAACGCGAAAAUUUUUUGGAACUAAACAGGGCCUUAACCACUUCCCGGGAUGCUGGUUAAGUAGCUAGCUAGCUGCACAUGUACAGUCAUGGGAGUCGAGAGAGAGAGAGAGAGAGAGAGAGAGAGAGAGAGAGAGAGAGAGAGAGAGAGAGAGAGAGAGAGAGAGAGAUGGAUGGAUGGAUACAGCAGUUCCCAGGAAGGCUAACACCAUCUCUGUAUAUCAAGUUUCAUCACUGGGCUUUCAAUCAACUAAUCAAAGCAUGGCACCCUCUAUUUUACUGAAGGUACUACUAGAGAGUGGAAACACAAAAUAAGCAGUUAAUAAAACAAACCUACACAAUCCAGAACAAAUGAAAAACUGAAGGAAGUGAAACAGUAAUAAUGAUAUAACAGAAAUGAAUGCAAAUCAAGAGCCUCAAAUCAAGUCAACAUACCCAAACCUGCAGAAAACAAAAAAAGGGUAACAAGUCCAUUUUUAUUAGCCCCAUCAACUCUGACCAAGUCCAGAAAUCGCUCGUUAACUCAACAAAUGGUCACCAUUCAACAUUAGUACCAACAUAAAUAGUCCCUUUCCUGCAUGGAGGGGCCAUGCCAAACUUUUAUUUAUGUGCUAACUGAGCAUUGCUGACUAAAAAACAUGCCCAAUUGUACGCAUUUCACCAGCAUGGUUUUGGACAAUGCAGUGUGCCAGUGUGUUACAAUGAUUUUGAUAGUAAGGAUGCUAAACACACGAUUUUUGUAGUUUUGGGUUGAUGGUAAAGUUGAGGUAAGAUGGUCAAUAGUAGAAUAAGAAGAAUAUCAAUAAAACCAUACAACUUGUGCAUGUGCAUGGCAUUUUAUGCCUACCAGGUGCUUUGUACACUUGUCAUCAUUGGACAAUAUAUUAUGGAUAUGCUACUACCAAGCAACAUAGUAAAAGAAAAAAAAGAAACAUGAACAUGCUACUAGUAAGAUUAUGGCUACCACAGUCUCUUGAUUCAUCCCAUUAUAUGGAAGUGGGAGAUGAUAAAAGAAUAAGGAAAACAAGAUAAGACAAGUUAUACAAAACUCUCCUAAAACGGGCCACUCCAUAUGUCACAGUAUGAUCCUAAUGACCUCUGGUUCAAGACAUAAACGUACUUGUGCAUUUCAAUAUGGCACAAGAGACAGACAUCAAAUUUGAAAAUCAAACAAGCACUCAACGAAAUAAGGUACCACAAAAAAGAGAGACAAUGUACUACUCCCUCCGUUCCUUAUUAUAAGAUGUUUUGACCCUAUCUAGAUUCAUCCAUGGAUCAAUGAAUUUGUUUUAUAUGUGUCCAGAUUCAUUAGCAUCCAUACGAAUGUAGGGAGGGUAGAACAUCUUAUAAUAUGAAACGAAGUUAAUACUAGAAUAUGUUGAGGCAUUUUGCAACUGCAAACAAUAGAU